UAUUCUUAUGUGAAUCCUUUAACCCCCCACCCCACCCCUUUAUGUGUGAGUUAUGGUUCAAGGCAUGGCAAUUUAUAUAGUUGUCCAUGUUUUUGGGCUGGAUUCUUCGAAUUCCAAACUCAAUCAAUCCCCAUUCCCUUUCCCCUUUAUGUGUUUUUGAGCCUUGGACUUGGGUCUAGCAAUGUCCUAAUCACUGUCCAAACCCUUUUCUGACCUCCAGCAGUCUGCUCCUAAUUUGUUUGACCAAGCAGGUGUUCAGGGGUGUGCCAGUUUGUUUUGUGGCUAGGUAUGACCACCACCUGUCAUGACUCCCCAAUUCCCUUUUAACUUGCACUUAUUCUUA
rnacentral:lncRNA from 1 species